rnacentral:rRNA from 1 species
GACGAACGCUGGCGGCGUGCCUAAUACAUGCAAGUAGAACGCUGAAGGAGGAGCUUGCUCUUCUGGAUGAGUUGCGAACGGGUGAGUAACGCGUAGGUAACCUGCCUGGUAGCGGGGGAUAACUAUUGGAAACGAUAGCUAAUACCGCAUAAGAGUAGAUGUUGCAUGACAUUUGCUUAAAAGGUGCAAUUGCAUCACUACCAGAUGGACCUGCGUUGUAUUAGCUAGUUGGUGGGGUAACGGCUCACCAAGGCGACGAUACAUAGCCGACCUGAGAGGGUGAUCGGCCACACUGGGACUGAGACACGGCCCAGACUCCUACGGGAGGCAGCAGUAGGGAAUCUUCGGCAAUGGACGGAAGUCUGACCUAGCAACGCCGCGUGAGUGAAGAAGGUUUUCGGAUCGUAAAGCUCUGUUGUAAGAGAAGAACGAGUGUGAGAGUGGAAAGUUCACACUGUGACGGUAUCUUACCAGAAAGGGACGGCUAACUACGUG